UACAUGGGGUGCAAACGUUGCUCGGAAUUAUUGGCGUAAAGCGCACGUAGGCGGUCCGUUAAGUCGGAUGUGAAAGCCCCCGGCUCAACCGGGGAAGUCGCCAUCCGAACUAGGCGGGCUGAGAGUACGAAAGAGGGUCGCGGAAUUCCCGGUGUAGAGGGUAGAAAGUUCGGUAGAUAUCGGGAGGAACACCGGUGGCGAAGGACGGGU
rnacentral:rRNA from 1 species